rnacentral:piRNA from 1 species
UGUGAUGCAGAGUACUCCUGGGC